CAACUUUUAGACCAAUAGGCAU
rnacentral:miRNA from 1 species